CUCGGAUGAAUUGCACCGGAGGUAGAGCACUGGAUGGGCUAGGGGUCUUACCAGACUACCAAACCCAAUCAAACUCCGAAUGCCGGUGACAAGUAUCCGGGAGGCAGACUGCGGGUGAUAAGGUCCGUAGUCGAGAGGGAAAGAGCCCAGAUCUACAGCUAAGGUCCCCAAAUCCAGUCUAAGUGUCGAAGGAUGUGGGAGCGCUCAGACAGCCAGGAGGUUGGCUUAGAAGCAGCCACCCUUUAAAGAAAGCGUAAUAGCUCACUGGUCGAGCGAGCCUGCGCCGAAAAUGUAACGGGGCUAAAGUCUGGUACCGAAGCUUAGGGUUCUACGCAAGUAGAGCGGUAGCGGAGUAUUGUCAGGUAGAUACAAGCCAUACCGUAAGGAGUGGUGUCGGACCUGAGAAGAGCAAAUGCAGGCAUGAGUAGCGAUAAACAGGAUGAGAAGUCCUGUCGCCGUAAGCCCAAGGUUUCCUGGGGAAGGAUAAUCCUCCCAUGGGUUAGUCGGUUCCUAAGCUGAGCCCGAAAGGGGUAGGUGAUGGCAAGCAGGUUAAUAUUCCUGCACCACUAUAUGUACGUUGACCUGAGCAGGGACGGAGAAGGGUAGGCUGAGCCAGCCGUUUGGUUGUGCUGGUUCAAGCGCGUAGGCGGUUCCCGUAGGACCCAAUAGGGACAAACGCGGGAGCAACGCCGAGACGUGAUGAGGAGGAGCUCCGGCUCCGUAACUCAGUGAUCCCAUGCUUCCAAGAAAAGCUGCGCAGUGAGUGCAUGUAGUGACCGUACCGCAAACCGACUCAGGUGGGCGGGGUGAAUAUCCCAAGGCGCGUGGGAGAACACUGGCUAAGGAACUCGGCAAAUUGACACCGUAACUUCGGGAGAAGGUGUGCCCCCAUUACGUGAAAGUCCUGCGACUGUAGCGGAAGGGGGUUGCAGAGAAAUGAGGGUUGCGACUGUUUACCAAAAACACAGGACUCUGCGAACUCGUAAGAGGACGUAUAGGGUCUGACGCCUGCCCGGUGCUGGAAGGUUAAGGGGAGAUGUUAGUCUUCGGGCGAAGCUUCGAACCGAAGCCCCAGUAAACGGCGGCCGUAACUAUAACGGUCCUAAGGUAGCGAAAUUCCUUGUCGGGUAAGUUCCGACCUGCACGAAUGGCGUAACGACAUCCCUACUGUCUCGGCCAGUGACCCAGCGAAAUUGUAUUGGGGGUGAAGAUACCCUCUACCCGCGGCAAGACGGAAAGACCCCGUGAACCUUUACUGCAACUUGGCAGUGAAGCUCGGGACAUUCUGCGUAGGAUAGGUGGGAGACUUUGAAACCGGGGUUCCGGCUUCGGUGGAGUCAACCUUGAAAUACCACCCUGAAUGUUCUGGGCUUCUAACCCAGCACCGUUAUCCGGUGCGGGGACACUGUCUGGUGGGCAGUUUGACUGGGGCGGUCGCCUCCCAAAAAGUAACGGAGGCGCCCAAAGGUUCCCUCAGUGCGGUUGGAAAUCGCGCGUAGAGUGUAAAGGCAGAAGGGAGCUUGACUGCGAGACUUACAAGUCGAGCAGGGACGAAAGUCGGGCUUAGUGAUCCGGUGGUUCCGCAUGGA
rnacentral:rRNA from 1 species